GCUAAGUCGGGGCGAGCGGGGAGGGUAAUGCGUGGGGCGUGGGUGUUGGCCGGAAUUGGUGGGCGCAAAGGGCUCGUAGGCGGCCUGUGGCGGCGGUUGUGAAAGGCCGGGGCUUAACCCCGGGUCUGCAGGCGAUACGGGCAGGCUAGAGUUCGGUAGGGGAGAUCGGAAUUCCUGGUGGAGCGGUGAAAUGCGCAGAUAUCAGGAGGAACACCGGUGGCGAAGGCGGAUCUCUGGGCCGAUACUGACGCUGAGGAGCGAAAGCGUGGGGAGCGAACAGGAUUAGAUACCCGGGUAGUC
rnacentral:rRNA from 1 species